CAGUAAAAGAUAUAAAUGUUUUCCUAUUACAUUAUUGAUAUAUGUUCUGAUUUCCCGAGUUCCGUGAGAAUGUGGCUGCAUGGAUUUGUUUUCAUGACCGGAAGGAUUCAUUCAGGGGGUUCUCCUGCUAAUCGAACAGGGAAGAGCUUUACGUAUCGCCGAGAAGACAAAUUACUUGCUUUUCAGGUUUGGUCGCUCAUCAAAAGCACCGGGAUGAUCUAACCUGGUCCGAACCCAAGGUUGAAGCUAGAAUCACCCUUGAUAUGGAUCCUAAAGUCAAUGAAGGGAGAAAUGAAUGGGAAGAAGAUUCGAGAAGUCGA